GCGAAGAAAGGAGACCCUGUUCAGCUUGAUUCUAGUCUUACUCUCUGAAAAAAAAAAACAGGAGAGGUGUAGAAUAAGUCGGAGGAGCAAUCCGCCGGCGCCGGUGAAAUACCACAAACUACUUUUAUCGUUUCUUUUUACUUAUUCGGUGAAGCAGAGCUGGACCUCCACGUCCACUUUUUAGCGUUAAGAUCACUCUUCUGCCGGUCGAUUCGAGCCGAAGACACUGUUAGGUUGGGAGUUUGGCUUGGGCGGCACGACUGCAAAAUGAUAACGCAGCUAGCAGGUGUCCUAAGAUGUUGAGAACGGAAAUCUCAUGUAGAACAAAAGGGUACAAGCUCACUUGAUUUUGACUUUCAGUAUGGAUACAAACUGUGAAAGCGUGGCCUAUCAAUUCCUUAAGGCUGGUUUCCACUGUUGCGUUUUUCAUACGUACUUAUACGCACGUAAAACUUUAAAUCCGUUUAAAUGUUAUUUAUGAAAUAACCAAAUAAAUAAAGCAACAGAAUUUAGUGUUCCGCAAGUUUUAGUAUGCAUUUGUUAACUUAUUUGUAAAAUAUUUAAAAAAUAGAAGGAUUCAAAGUUUUACGUGCGUGUACGUGCGCACGAAAAACGCAACAGUGGAAAUCAGCCUUUAGUCUUUACGAGUUUUACGCUAGGGCGGACACCGUGUCAGAAAUGUUAGCACAGGGAUAACUGGGCGCUUAUGGCAGCCAAGCGUUCAUAGCGACAUUGCUCUCUUUGGCUAUAAUUUCUUUAUCAUGC